rnacentral:rRNA from 1 species
UACGUAGGGGGCAAGCGUUGUCCGGAUUUAUUGGGCGUAAAGAGCGUGUAGGCGGCCAGGUAGGUCAGCUGUGAAAACUCGAGGCUCAACCUCGAGACGUCGGUUGAAACCACCUGGCUAGAGUCCGGAAGAGGAGAGUGGAAUUCCUGGUGUAGCGGUGAAAUGCGUAGAUAUCGGGAGGAACACCAGUGGCGAAGGCGACUUCCUGGCCUGUUCUUGACGCUGAGGCGCGAAAGCUAGGGGAGCAAACGGG